rnacentral:tRNA from 1 species
UAGGGUAUAGCUCAGCAGCAUAGCGUCUGCCUGGCAAGCACAGGGUCCUGAGUUUAAUUCUCAGUUCCAAAA